CCCGCCGACACUGCGCGAGGCACUAAGGGCACAUUCGUACCUACACCUACACUCUGCGAGUCACUUCACCGUGUGUGGCGGAGGAUGCCGAUAAUGAAAUCAUAGAAGUAUGGAGCCAAGGAAGACGAGCCAACGGCAGUGCGAAGUCAUCCUGCUGGAUUCCGGAGCAUGUGACAAUAGCGAGACGGCGAACUCACUUGCGACAGACGGCUUUAAUCGGUCGGCCAGCGCGCCAGCUGGACGCCGCACAAGUAUCGACGCCGGCUCUGAGUCAGGAGUUUGGUAGCUGCGGCUGGAUCCCAAUACCCAUUUAGAAAGCGGCAGCCCGUGCUACGCAGCAGCGGCGGCAGACGCACACUUCCCCGAAAAAUCUGAGAUUCUCUCUCUACUUCUUGUUGGUGCUCCUGCCUACCAAUAGCGGCUACCUGCUGCCAUCAUCAAGAUUUGGAUUCAAAUUGCUACCGAUCACAGUGAAUGCUGGAGAUCGCUUCAAAUUCAACACGCCUCGGGAGAACUGCUGCAGUGUCGCCGUUCUUAAAUAUUUUCCGUCAAAAAUUUGUUGUAAUAUACAUAAAUAUAUGC